AAACUCCUACGGGGGGCAGCAGUGAGGAAUAUUGGUCAAUGGGCGAGAGCCUGAACCAGCCAAGUAGCGUGCAGGAUGACGGCUCUAUGGGUUGUAAACUGCUUUUAUAAGGGAAUAAAGUGAGCCUCGUGAGGCUUUUUGCAUGUACCUUAUGAAUAAGGACCGGCUAAUUCCGUGCCAGCAGCCGCGGUAAUACGGAAGGUCCGGGCGUUAUCCGGAUUUAUUGGGUUUAAAGGGAGCGUAGGCCGGAGAUUAAGCGUGUUGUGAAAUGUAGAUGCUCAACAUCUGCACUGCAGCGCGAACUGGUUUCCUUGAGUACGCACAAAGUGGGCGGAAUUCGUGGUGUAGCGGUGAAAUGCUUAGAUAUCACGAAGAACUCCGAUUGCGAAGGCAGCUCACUGGAGCGCAACUGACGCUGAAGCUCGAAAGUGCGGGUAUCGAACAGGAUUAGAUACCCUGGUAGUCCGCACGGUAAACGAUGGAUGCCCGCUGUUGGUCUGAAUAGGUCAGCGGCCAAGCGAAAGCAUUAAGCAUCCCACCUGGGGAGUAGGCCGGCAACGGUGCAACUCAAAUGAAUUGAC
rnacentral:rRNA from 1 species